rnacentral:lncRNA from 1 species
UGACCCUGAUCAUGAAUAGGUUUGAUACCAGAUCGUGACAACAAACACGAUUGUCCACGUAGAGGCUACAGCUGAAACAUUAGCUUCCAAAUUUGAAGGCAUGCAAAUAGCAUUACUAUUAAGUUCAAAAUGCAUAAACCUCAUCAGUUCAAACAUUCACAGCAGCUCAGAGUUGCAAUUGCAAUGCAUAAACCGGUACCCAAACAAUCUGCCACAAAGCAAGAAAAAAAGCUGGUAACACUAUGGGAUAAGAUCUGUCGCGGCCUAAGCCUUGAGCUUGCCGUAGAACUUCUGCUUCUCGUCGGUGGUCUGGAACCGGCCAUGCCCAAACUUUGAUGAGGUGUCGAUGAACUUGAGCUUGAUCUCCUCAAGGGCCAACCGCGACGUCUGCUUUAACAGGGACUGGCGGAGGGUCACCACUCUCUUCUUGGGGCCCACACAGCAGCCCUUGAUCAUGAGGUAGUCACCCUUCACCACACCAUAGUGAGGGAAGCCACCCAUCGGGGUGAUGUCCUUCUCAGUCCUGCAAGCACCAGCAUGGCCGUCAGUUUCAUGGAAAAUGUUCAAGAGCACAACAGAUGAUAGCAUGCACCUAAUCAGAUUCACUCAAAGAUACCUGUCAAACUCAGUGCAGGCCUCGUGAGACUCCUGUCCAGACUUGCCCAUCUUGUAAAUCUUUUUGUUCAUCUCUGUGCGGUGG